rnacentral:rRNA from 1 species
GACGAACGCUGGCGGCGUGCUUAACACAUGCAAGUCGAACGCUGAACCCGCUUCGGUGGGGGAUGAGUGGCGAACGGGUGAGUGACACGUGGGCAACCUGCCCCCGGCUCUGGGAUAACUCCAAGAAAUUGGGGCUAAUACCGGAUGUGACCGCUGGCCGCAUGGUCUGGUGGUGGAAAGGGUUUCCGGCUGGGGAUGGGCCCGCGGCCUAUCAGCUUGUUGGUGGGGUAGUGGCCUACCAAGGCGACGACGGGUAGCCGGCCUGAGAGGGUGACCGGCCACACUGGGACUGAGACACGGCCCAGACUCCUACGGGAGGCAGCAGUGGGGAAUAUUGCGCAAUGGGCGGAAGCCUGACGCAGCGACGCCGCGUGGGGGAUGACGGCCUUCGGGUUGUAAACCUCUUUCAGCAGGGACGAAGCGCAAGUGACGGUACCUGCAGAAGAAGCACCGGCCAACUACGUG